rnacentral:rRNA from 1 species
AUGUCUAAGUAUAAACGCUUCUAUACUGUGAAACUGCGAAUGGCUCAUUAAAUCAGUUAUAGUUUAUUUGAUGGUUCCUUACUACUUGGAUAACCGUAGUAAUUCUAGAGCUAAUACAUGCAGAAAGUCCCGACUUCUUGGAAGGGAUGUAUUUAUUAGAUCCAAAACCAGCGCGAGUUUCCUUCGGGGGCUCGGUUGCAUGGUGAUUCAUGAUAACUGCUCGAAUCGCAUGGCCUUGCGCCGGCGAUGAUCCAUUCAAAUUUCUGCCCUAUCAACUUUCGAUGGCAAGGUAGUGGCUUGCCAUGGUGACAACGGGUGACGGAGAAUUAGGGUUCGAUUCCGGAGAGGGAGCCUGAGAAACGGCUACCACAUCCAAGGAAGGCAGCAGGCGCGCAAAUUACCCAAUCCCGACUCGGGGAGGUAGUGACAAUAAAUAACAAUGCUGGGCUAUCGUAGUCUGGCAAUUGGAAUGAGUACAAUCUAAACCCCUUAACGAGGAACAAUUGGAGGGCAAGUCUGGUGCCAGCAGCCGCGGUAAUUCCAGCUCCAAUAGCGUAUAUUAAAGUUGUUGCAGUUAAAAAGCUCGUAGUUGGAUUUCGGGGCAGCCCGGCUGGUCCGUCGCGAGGCGAGUACUGGUCGGCCGCCCUUCCUCUCGAAAGCCCCGACUGCUCUUCACUGCAGUGGUCGGGGAGUUCGGGACGUUUACUUUGAAAAAAUUAGAGUGUUCAAGGCAGGCCAUCGCCUGAAUACAUUAGCAUGGAAUAAUGGAAGAGGACCUCGGUCCUAUUUUGUUGGUUUCUAGGGCCGAAGUAAUGAUUAAGAGGGACAGUUGGGGGCAUUCGUAUUUAAUUGUCAGAGGUGAAAUUCUCGGAUUUAUGAAAGACGAACAACUGCGAAAGCAUUUGCCAAGGAUGUUUUCAUUAAUCAAGAACGAAAGUUAGG